rnacentral:rRNA from 1 species
GAUGCAAGCGUUAUCCGGAAUCAUUGGGCGUAAAGCGCCUGUAGGUUGUUUAAUAAGUCUGUUGUUAAAGACUAGGGCUCAACCCUAGGAAAGCAAUGGAAACUACUAGACUUGAGUAUGAUAGGGGUAGAGGGAAUUUCUAGUGUAGCGGUGAAAUGCGUAGAUAUUAGGAAGAACACCGGUGGCGAAGGCGCUCUACUGGAUCAUUACUGACACUCAGAGGCGAAAGCUAGGGUAGCAAAAGGGAUUAGAUACCCCUGUAGUCCUAGCCGUAAACGAUGGAUACUAGAUGUUGCGUUUAUUAUGCAGUAUCGUAGCUAACGCGUUAAGUAUCCCGCCUGGGGAGUACGCUCGCA